CUGUGCUGAGUUUUUCGAAGGUCAGAGCAGAUUGAACCUUUGUGCUUUCAUUUUUCCUGAUUUUGAUUUUUCUUAUGGGGAUCCACUUUUCCUGCAUUCGAGGUGACUUGAAGAAGCCUUCCAAAAAGCGUGUGAAAAGGGAGCCCUACUCUACUACCAUGUUACAGGUGACUUCAUUGAGCCCAAUCAAUGAAAUUUUGAGAAGAUACAGCCUGUACACCAACCAGCAUUGGAGGCAUCAUGGCUUCUGGAGAAAGAAGAUACAGCCACAAGAAGCCUCUGAGGAGCCUCCAGCUCACAAGGACAGAGGAGGUGGAGAGAGGCCAGUCAACGCGAGGGUGGUGCGGGUGGCCCCUCUGAGGCCUGGUUUUGCUCUUUGUGGGUACGCUGUACAAGACAUCUCUAAAGAAGACACUGUAUAUGACAUCUGUAAUGAGGAUGCUGUAGACAUCUCUGAUGAGGACACUGUAGAUAUCUCUAAUGAGGCUUCUGUACAUGACAUCUCUAAUGAGGCUGCUGUAUGUGACAUCUCUAACGAUGCCGUAAACAUCUCUAAUGAGGCUGCUGUACGUGACAUCUCUAAUGACGCUGUAGACAUCUGUAAUGAGGCUGCUGUACAUGACAUCUCUAAUGAGGACACUAUAGAAGACAUUUCUUAUGAGGACACUGUAUACGACAUCACUAAUGAGGAUGCUGUACGAUACCUCUGUAAAAAAGAUGCUACCAAGGAGCCAUUGACACUGGAGAAUGAUUUGAUUGUGGAGAGCAUGUCUGAUGACGAGGAUUUUGCAGCUUAAAGGGAGCUCCCGGGGUGAGUGAUGGAGGCGGGAUCGGACCCUGGCAGUUUGACGGCAACACCUGUGUUCCUCUGCACUGGGCCGUGGAUGACAUUACACACCUUGGUGAGAAUCAGGAAUUGAGGCUAAUCACAUCUGAAAUUGAGCUCGCUCACUGGACAGGAUAGACUGGGCGCCCAGGCCUCAAGGGCUUAUGAUUUCUUCUCGGGUUUGAAACAUGCCCCCAGAUGAGCAAGACGGGGCUGCCACAUUGACGGAGCAGCUGCGGGACACACCCAAGAAACCUCCUGGAGAACACAGGGGACAUUCACGGCUGGAGGCUUCAUCUAUGGCCGGGGGCUUCAUCCAUGAGCUGGGGACUUCAUCCAUGGGCUGGGGACUUCAUCCAUGACUGGGGACCUCAUCCACGUCUGGAGACUUCAUCCGCGACUGGGGGCUUCAUCCAUGGGCUGGGGGAUUCAUCCACGGGCUGGGGGCUUCAUCCAUCACUGGGGGCUUCAUCCACGGGCUGGGGGCUUCAUCCAUGACUGGGGGCUUCAUCCACGGGCUGGGGGCUUCAUCCAUGGGCUGGGGGCUUCAUCCAUGACUGGGGGCUUCAUCCACGGGCUGGGGGCUUCAUCCAUGACUGGGGACUUCAUCCACGACUGGAGACUUCAUCCAUAGGCUGGGGGCUUCAUCUACAGCUGGAGACUUCAUCCACAGCAGGGGCUUCAUCCUUGGUUGGUUUGCCUGAUCUGUAUCUGAGCCACAGAUACAGAUUAUUAAACAGAUAAUAAUUUUAUUGA
rnacentral:lncRNA from 1 species